CGGUUAGCUCAGCGGUAGAGCGUCUGCCUUACAAGCAGAGGGUCACAGGUUCAAAUCCUGUACCGC
rnacentral:tRNA from 1 species